rnacentral:rRNA from 1 species
AUACGGAGGGUGCAAGCGUUACUCGGAAUCACUGGGCGUAAAGCGCGCGCAGGCGGGCUGAUAAGUUGGAUGUGAAAGCCCACGGCUUAACCGUGGAAGUGCAUUUGAAACUGUCAGACUUGAGUAUCAGAGGGGAAAGUGGAAUUCCCGGUGUAGAGGUGAAAUUCGUAGAUAUCAGGAGGAACACCGGUGGCGAAGGCGACUUUCUGGACAGAUACUGACGCUGAGGCGCGAAAGCGUGGGGAGCAAACAGGAUUAGAAACCCCAGUAGUCC